rnacentral:rRNA from 1 species
AUACGGAGGGUGCAAGCGUUGUUCGGAUUUACUGGGCGUAAAGAGAGUGUAGGUUGUUUAUUAAGUCGGAUGUGAAAUCCCGGGGCUCAACCUCGGAACUGCAUUCGAUACUGGUAGACUAGAGUUCGGGAGGGGUAAGCGGGAUUCCGUGUGUAGCAGUGAAAUGCGUAGAUAUACGGAGGAACACCUGAGGCGAAGGCGGCUUACUGGACCGAUACUGACACUGAGACUCGAAAGCGUGGGUAGCAAACAGGAUUAGAAACCCCGGUAGUCC